GCUUCCUGCCGUCCUGCGGCCGCGGGGUCGCACCCACGUCUGUCAGCGCGGGGAGAGAGAUCUGCCAUCAAUUCAGCUCAGUUCUUCGGGAGUCCGUGAAGCUGCUCUGUGUUGGAUCUGUAAGAUGAAGCCAAAUGACAACCCAGGCCCGAGAAGAACGUUGCUUAAGGCUGACAAGCAAUUGCCAAAGCCAACCUCUGGGAGCUCUCCAAGAAAGGAUCAAAACCUUGCUGUGAGACUGCAUCCACUGCUGCCAGAAUCUGCAGAGCACUUCAAGGAGAGUCUCCAGCCAUUACCUUUAUUUGCCACUUAGAAGAAUGCACUUUGUCCAGCUGAGCUCUCUCUACCCAGAUCUCAUCCUUCCAUGCUCUGCUACUGCAGUCUGUUACAAGGUCAGCUCAACAGCCUUGCCUCAGCAAAUGACUGAGACUACAGCCAAAAGCAAAGCAAUGUAGCUGGUCUGGAGUGAUGCUUCAGAGACUUUUUCAACUUUUAGACAAAAUUAAAGCUUUCUUUGACAGCAGCUAUCCAUUUAAAAUAAUUUGAAUGUUCUUGUAUGUGCUGCAACUUCUGUGACUGCUUACAGCUUAACAGGAAUACAGUGCCUGGCCAAAAUGGUACCUAUGUGGCUAAGGGGAAAACUGGCAUCUUAUGAAUAUUAAACUGAGUGCUUUUCUUUUCCCUGUAUUAUAUAUUAUCGUUCCGUGAAACAUCUGUUUGCAAGUAGGGUUACAGUUGUCACUGUUGUUUUCUACAUUUCACCAGCACAUAAGGUGCUGCUUUUUUAAUAGUUAAACGAGAGAUUCUGUUCUCCUAAUAGAUACGUCAAUAACACUGUGCUUUUGCUCCUUUAUCUGACAUAAAGCUGAAUCUGGUAACCUCACUUACUGCAUAAUUAUGUUGUCAUUGGGAAUACUCACACAUGUAAAAUGAGAAGGACUUGGCCCUUUGGUCAUAUUUUUGUAAUAAAAGAUAAAAUGAGAUUUUAGGAAACUGCAACUUAUGACCAUGAUAUUUAUGAGGCUGUCAGGAUUGCACUGUAAGAAUUCAUAUUAUUUAAUUCUUCACUCUGACACUAAAGCAUCAUUUCAUUUAUAUGCAAAUAAGAGUAUACUCUACUGCUGUUUCUUCACUGAAGAAGCUGUUUGAAUUAUUCACAUUUUAUUAAUAAAACUU
rnacentral:lncRNA from 7 species